UCUCCAAUAGUGUAUACUAAAGUUGCUGCAGUUAAAAAGCUCGUAGUUGGAUUUCGGUUAAUGAAAAGUUAGUCCACUUAAUAUAUAAGUGCGUACUGACGUUUUAUUUCCUUCUUUUCAGAUAUACAACUUGUUGUGUUCUGAAUCUUUUACUUUGAGAAAAUUAGAGUGUUCAAAGCAGGCGUAACCAAGCCUUUGAAUAUAUUAGCAUGGGAUAAUGGAAUAAGACUUUUUGCCUUAUUUUCGUUGGUUCUUGAGGCUAAAGUAAUGAUUAAUAGGGAUAGUUGGGGUCAUUAGUAUUUAAUUGUCAGAGGUGAAAUUCUAAGAUUUAUUAAAGACUAACUACUGCGAAAGCAUUUGACAAGGAUGUUUUCAUUAAUCAAGAACGAAAGUUGGGGGAUCGAAGAUGAUCAGAUACCGUCGUAGUCUCAACCAUAAACUAUGCCGACCAAGGAUUCGGGGGUGUUAUAUGAAUGACCCUCCGGGCACUUAUAGAGAAAUCAUAAGUAUUUGGGUUCCGGGGGGAGUAUGGUCGCAAGGCUGAAACUUAAAGGAAUUGACGGAAGGGCACCACCAGGAGUGGAAUAUGCGGUUUAAUUUGACCCAACACGGGAAAACUUACCAGGUCCAGACACAGUGAGGAUUGACAGAUUGAGAGCUCUUUCUUGGUUUUGUGGGUGGUGGUGCAUGGCCGUUUCUAGUUGGUGGAGUGAUUUGUCUGGUUAAUUCCGUUAACGAACGAGACCUUAACCUAUUAAAUAGUUACACAUACUUGGGAUUCGUCCUAAUAGUAUGUGGUUAACUUCUUAGAGGGACUCUUCACGUAAAGAGUGAAUGGAGUUUGAGGCAAAAACAGGUCUGUGAUGCCCUUAGAUGUUCUGGGCUACACGCGUGUUACACUGAUAUAUUCAACAAGCAUUAUAAUUCCUUACCCGAUGGGGUUGGGUAAUCUUUUAAAUGUAUAUCGUGAUGGGGAUAGACCAUUGUAAUUAUUGGUCUUGAACGAGGAAUUCCUAGUAAGUGCAAGUCAUUAGCUUGCGCUGAUUACGUCCCUGCCCUUUGUACACACCGCCCGUCGCUCCUACCGAUGAAUGGUCCCGUGAGGACUCAGGAUGACCGUGGAUUUUGGUAUAAUAUACCAUGCCAUUGUUUGUCAGAAU
rnacentral:rRNA from 1 species